CGAAAUUUGCGAACAACUUCGAAAUAUUCAGAUCCAAAUUUAUUCCUAUCGAUCAAUCCUUUGUUUACGUACCGCCGCUUAUUCGGAAUUCGUGUCAUCGCAGUGCCUGUCCCUGCUUCGCGUGAUGAAAUCAUUGUGGUAGUUUUGCUUGCCAUAAAUCAGUGCACUGCUUCGAAAUACUUCAGACCCUAGCCUUAUUUAUUUUACACCUCUAAGAAGUAUCACAGAUGCCCCUUCACGCAUACAAAUAUUUUUCUUUUGUCAGCACGCGCCGACAAUUUUGUCAACACGCGCCAAAGUUCCGUAAAUUCAAAAAGGUUUUCAGUUGCGGAUGAAGGCCGUCCUUUGAGUUGGUCAACAAUGGAUACAAAAGAAAGAAGGUUGGAGGUGGCAAAGUGAAUAACAAAGGCGAUACGGGUCGAUGAUCAACGCGUUAGCUAACGCGUUAGCGAAAGAGCACUAACGCGUUGACUUCUUCGAGCCCACGCGUUGACAACGCGUUAGGUGGUUCGCUUAUCUUCGAACGGUACUGUAUCUUAAGUUUGUCAGAGACGAUCAAUUCAGGAAAAUGAUUGUAGUGGCUGCAUGUAUUUCAGCCCUGAUUUCUAUGAGUACAAGUUAAGCUUGUUUUGGUCCGGUCAUUUUGGCCUCGAAAUGGAGAACAAAACAGAUAUUUAUAUGUUCUAAACAUGGAAACACCUGGAAGACACUGGAAAUGUAGUAAAAGUAUUUUUGUGUGGGAUUUCCCACACUUAGUCAACGCCCGCGAAAUUUAUUUCUUUAUUUAUUUGUCCACGAGAGAGAAGUGCUUGUCACGUGGUUUCUAUUUGCGUUCAGUGAGCCGUGAAGACUGGAUUCCAGUCGGCGUUUUUUCAUUAUGUAUUGUACGGCGGCCAUUUCUCUUCUCAGUCGUUGGGUUUUGGAGAACUUAUUCGGAAUUUCAUGUUUGUUUCUUGGGGAUUUUUGUUUCCAAGGUGUCUAUAACAAAAGAUUUUUUCACGUAAGUCAACACGCUGAAACGCGGCUUGUGUUCAGUGCAGGUUGCACAGGAGCUUUUACGCUUUCACAAGCCAACAUUUAUCGGCUUGGACCUUCGGUGCGGGUUGUGUCAGAUUGAAAGGAGUCAUUGUACUCUCGCAAGCCAACAUUUGUCGGCUUGAAUGUAUUUGUGCGGGUUGCGCUUCAAAGAGUCUCAGGGUGUCUCAAAGUGUCUCACGAGUGUCUCAAAAUGUCUCACGAGUGUCUCAAAGUGUCACAAACUGAAAGAAACUAUUGUUUGCCUUGAACUGUCAAGAGUGUUAUCUAUUUUAAUAAACUGAGUUUCUAGUUA